UGAACCGCAUGGUUCAAACAUAAAAGGUGGCUCGGCUACCACUUACAGAUGGACCCGCGGCGCAUUAGCUAGUUGGUGAGGUAAYGGCUCACCAAGGCAACGAUGCGCCGACCUGAGAGGGUGAUCGGCCACACUGGGACUGAGACACGGCCCAGACUCCUACGGGAGGCAGCAGUAUUCCGCAAUGGACGAAAGUCUGACGGAGCAACGCCGCGUUGAUGAAGGUUUUCGGAGUAAAGCUCUGUUGUUAAAGAACAAGUACCGUUCGAAUAGGGCGGUACCUUGACGGUACAACCAGAAAGCCACGGCUAACUACGUGCCAGCAGCCGCGGCGUAGGUGGCAAGCGUUCCGGAAUUAAAAGGGCUCGCGGCGGUUUCUUAAGUCUGAUGUGAAAGCCCCCGCUCAACCGGGGAGGGUCAUUGGAAACUGGGGAACUUGAGUGCAGAAGAGGGAGUGGAAUUCCACGUGUAGCGGUGAAAUAGAGAUGUGGAGGAACACCAGUGGCGAAGGCGACUCUCUGGUCUGUAACUGACGCUGAGGAGCGAAAGCGUGGGGAGGAUUAGAUACCCUGGUAGCCACGCCGUAAACGAWRARUGSUAAGUGUUAGGGGGUUUCCGCCCCUUAGUGCUCAGCUAACGCAUUA
rnacentral:rRNA from 2 species